GACGAACGCUGGCGACGUGCUUAACACAUGCCAGUCGAACGGAAAGGCCCCAGCUUGCUGGGGUACUCGAGUGGCGAACGGGUGAGUAACACGUGGGUGAUCUGCCCUGCACUCUGGGAUAAGCCCGGGAAACUGGGUCUAAUACCGGAUAGGACCGUGCUUUAGUGUGUGCGGUGGAAAGUUUUUCGGUGCAGGAUGAGCCCGCGGCCUAUCAGCUUGUUGGUGGGGUAAUGGCCUACCAAGGCGGCGACGGGUAGCCGGCCUGAGAGGGUGUACGGCCACAUUGGGACUGAGACACGGCCCAGACUCCUACGGGAGGCAGCAGUGGGGAAUAUUGCACAAUGGGCGCAAGCCUGAUGCAGCGACGCCGCGUGGGGGAUGACGGCCUUCGGGUUGUAAACCCCUUUCGGCAGGGACGAAGCUUUUGUGACGGUACCUGCAUAAGAAGCACCGGCUAACUACGUG
rnacentral:rRNA from 1 species